AAACGCACUCCACGGACUUUGUAGUGUUGAAAUAAUACUUAACUUUUAUUUAAUCCAUAAAAUGAUGGAUUAAAUAAAAGUUAAGUCUUAUUUUAACUCUACAAAGUCCCUGGAGUGUGGUU